rnacentral:lncRNA from 1 species
AAAACACAAAGCUGAGGGAGCCCUCAGUGACCUCAGACGUCAGUAUUGAAACAGAGGUGGGAGAUCUCCAGGUGACAAUGAAGAAACUCAAAAAGAUGUUUGGGAUACUGUUUUCUUGAUUUCCUUAAAGUGGACUGUCCCUGCAUUUUUGGGAGUGGAAAAAGAACUGAUGAGGAUGACAGCAAAUCCAUUGCCCAUAUGAGUGGGACCAGUUCCACAAGGUCAACCCAGAUGCAGAACGGUUGCGUGGUUAGAUCCAAAACAUCCCCGGCGUGGCCUUCAUUGUACGUGACUUGUUAGCUUCUUACCUAGAGUGGGGCAUCCUACAGAUGCUGUCGUGUGGAGAGUUACAGCAUGUAGAAUCUAAAUCUUACCCUGGGGUCCUUUUAGAAGGUCAGCUCUUUUUUGCUGUGUUUCAAUGAAAACGUUGUGCCCUCUGGUUAAAUACACCUGUUUUGUCCUGACAAAAGUCUUAGCGGAUAAAUGUUUUUAAAUUGGUUAAAAAAAUAAAAUCACAUGCUCAGAUCAAAGCUAUACAAGACAUUCACUGACAUUAUUAGAUUCAUACGGUUGCCAACUUUGUAGCUAAACUAUAACAUCUACUUCCAAUAUUCAAUACUAGAAAACUAGUCAAAGGGGGUGACCAUCCUUGCUUUGCUGUCAAUUAGCCUUGUGGUCUUGGACAUGUCACCAGCCAGGUUUGAUCCAUUUCCUCGUCUGUAAAACAAGCAGUUUGGCCUUUUGGGCCUGGGGCACUCUCAG